AAAGUCGUAACAAGGUUUCCGUAGGUGAACCUGCGGAAGGAUCAUUACUGAGUGAGGGCCCUCUGGGUCCAACCUCCCACCCGUGUCUCUUGUACCAUGUUGCUUCGGCGAGCCCGCCUCACGGCCGCCGGGGGGCAUCUGCCCCCGGGCCCGCGCCCGCCGAAGCCCCCUCUGAACGCUGUCUGAAGAUUGCAGUCUGAGCGAUAAGCAAAAAUUAUUUAAAACUUUCAACAACGGAUCUCUUGGUUCCG
rnacentral:misc_RNA from 1 species